rnacentral:tRNA from 1 species
UCUCUUGAGCUCAGCUGGUAGAGUAACUGACUUGUAACAAGUAGGUCAUUGGUUCAUCUCGAUAGGAGAAUCA